rnacentral:rRNA from 1 species
UACAAGACUUCGGUCAAGUUGAACGGAUGACUUAGUGGCGGACGGGUGAGUAACGCGUGAGGAACCUGCCUUUCAGUGGGGGAUAACAGUUGGAAACGACUGCUAAUACCGCAUAAGCGCACAGUACCGCAUGGUACGGUGUGAAAAACUCCGGUGGUACAAGAUGGACCCGCGUCUGAUUAGCUGGUUGGUGAGGUAACGGCUCACCAAGGCGACGAUCAGUAGCCGGCUUGAGAGAGUGAACGGCCACAUUGGGACUGAGACACGGCCCAAACUCC